rnacentral:rRNA from 1 species
CCUAUGGGAGGCAGCAGUGGGGGAUAUUGCACAAUGGGGGAAACCCUGAUGCAGCGACGCCGCGUGAGUGAUGACGUAUUUCGGUAUGUAAAGCUCUAUUAGUAGGGAAGAAAAUGACAGUACCUGACCAAGAAGCCCCGGCUAACUACGUGCCAGCAGCCGCGGUAAUGCGUAGGGGGCAAGCGUUAUCCGGAUUUACUGGGUGUAAAGGGAGUGUAGACGGGUUUGUAAGUACGGAGUGAAAGCCCGGGGGCCAACCCCGGGACUGGUUUGGAAACUGUGUAACUUGAGUACAGGAGGGGCAGGCGGGAUUCCUGGUGUAGCGGUGAAAUGCGUAGAUAUCAGGGAGAAGACCGGCGGCGAAGGCGGCCUGCUGGACUGAAACUGACGUUGAGGCUCGAAAGGGUGGGGAGCAAACAGGAUUAGAUACCCCAGUAGUC